GAUGAACGCUGGCGGCGUGCCUAGUACAUGCAAGUCGAGCGAACGGACGAGAAGCUUGCUUCUCUGAUGUUAGCGGCGGACGGGUGAGUAACACGUGGAUAACCUACCUAUAAGACUGGGAUAACUUCGGGAAACCGUAGCUAAUACCGGAUAAUAUUUUGAACCGCAUGGUUCAAAAGUGAAAGACGGUCUUGCUGUCACUUAUAGAUGGAUCCGCGCUGCAUUAGCUAGUUGGUAAGGUAACGGCUUACCAAGGCAACGAUGCAUAGCCGACCUGAGAGGGUGAUCGGCCACACUGGAACUGACACGGUCCAGACUCCUACGGGAGGCAGCAGUAGGGAAUCUUCCGCAAUGGGCGAAAGCCUGACGGAGCAACGCCGCGUGAGUGAUGAAGGUCUUCGGAUCGUAAAACUCUGUUAUUAGGGAAGAACAUAUGUGUAAGUAACUGUGCACAUCUUGACGGUACCUAAUCAGAAAGCCACGGCUAACUACGUG
rnacentral:rRNA from 1 species